rnacentral:rRNA from 1 species
GACGAACGCUGGCGGCGUGCUUAACACAUGCAAGUCGAGCGGUAAGGCUCCUUCGGGAGUACACGAGCGGCGAACGGGUGAGUAACACGUGCGUAAUCUGCCCUUCACUUCGGUAUAACCACCGUAAACGGUGGCUAAUACCGAAUACAACCAGUCUUCGCAUGAGGUGCUGGUGGAAAGUCUUUUCGGCGGAGGUGGUUCUCGUCGCCUAUCAGCUUGUUGGUGGUGUAAUGGCCUACCACGGGUUCGACGGGUAGUCGGCCUGAGGGGGUGAGCGGCCAGACUGGGACCAAGACACCGGCGAGACGCCUAAGAGGGGCAGCAGUGGGGAAUGUUGGAAAAUGGGCGCAAGCCUGAUGCGGCAGCGCCGCGUGAGGGCUGACGGCAAUGGGGUUGUAAACGUCUUUAAGUGCCGACGAAGCGCACUGUGGGGUGGUGACGGUAGGUACAGAAGAAGGACCGGCUAACUACGUG